UACGAAGGGGGCUAGCGUUGUUCGGAUUUACUGGGCGUAAAGCGCACGUAGGCGGAUCGUUAAGUCGGGGGUGAAAUCCUGGAGCUCAACUCCAGAACUGCCUUCGAUACUGGCGAUCUUGAGUCCGGAAGAGGUGAGUGGAACUCCUAGUGUAGAGGUGGAAUUCGUAGAUAUUAGGAAGAACACCAGUGGCGAAGGCGGCUCACUGGUCCGGUACUGGACGCUGAGGUGCGAAAAGCGUGGGGAGCAAACAGGG
rnacentral:rRNA from 1 species